rnacentral:lncRNA from 10 species
AAGCUCAGAUACGCCCCAGAGACGUACCCAGGGCUCGCUCCCUCACGUCUUCCUAGCCUGGGCUCAAAUGUCACCUGCUGGUGACCAGACCACCUUCCCUGAGUAGCACCCUUCACCCCCACUCUCACACCUGUCUCUGUUUCAUUUGCUCCUCGGCAGUUAGCAGCGUCUGGCAUCCUCUGUUUUACUCUCUGUCUGCUGCUUUGGAAUGUAAGCUCUCAGAGAUCAGAGGCAUUGUCUGUUUCCAUCAUGCUGAUACCUACCUCCUAAAAAAGUGCCUGGGACAGGGUUGGUGCUCAGUAAAUAUCCGUCGACUAAACAAAUGAAGGCAUGACUCAAAGCACUGGCUUUCAGCACCAGACGAGGUUUUCCUGGGCUGCUGUCACCGGGCCCAGCAGGGGCACC